ACACUUUGGAUUCCUUGUCCCUCAGAUCUAAAUAUUGGUCUGAGUGGCUUAAAAAGAAGGAAAAAGUAAAACUGAAGUGGACUUGGCGUCUUUAAUAACUUACAAGUUCAUUUCAAACAUAG
rnacentral:snoRNA from 1 species